ACGGGGGCAGCAGUGGGGAAUAUUGGGCAAUGGGGGAAACCCUGACCCAGCAACGCCGCGUGGAGGAAGAAGGUCUUCGGAUCGUAAACUCCUGUCCUACGAGACGAGCAGAAGACGGUAUCUUAGGAGGAAGCCCCGGCUAACUACGUGCCAGCAGCCGCGGUAAUACGUAGGGGGCGAGCGUUGUCCGGAAUGAUUGGGCGUAAAGGGCGCGUAGGCGGCCUGUUAAGUCAGAAGUGAAAGUCCUGCUUUCAAGGUGGGAAUUGCUUUUGAUACUGGUAGGCUUGAGUGCAGGAGAGGUUAGUGGAAUUCCCAGUGUAGCGGUGAAAUGCGUAGAGAUGGGGAGGAACACCAGUGGCGAAGGCGACUAACUGGACUGUAACUGACGCUGAGGCGCGAAAGUGUGGGGAGCAAACAGGAUUAGAUACCCUGGUA
rnacentral:rRNA from 1 species